rnacentral:rRNA from 1 species
AGAGUUGAUCAUGGCUCAGGACGAACGCUGGCGGCGUGCUUAACACAUGCAAGUCGAACGAGGAUGAUCCUUCGGGGAUCAUUCGAGUGGCGGACGGGUGAGUAACGCGUGAACAAUCUGUCCUUCAAAGGGGGAAACCAACUGGAAACAGUUGCUAAUACCGCAUAAGACCACAGUGUCGCAUGGCACAGAGGUAAAAGACGCAAGUCGAUGGAGGGUGAGUUCGCGUCUGAUUAGGCAGUUGGCGGGGUAAAGGCCCACCAAACCGACGAUCAGUAGCCGACCUGAGAGGGUGACCGGCCACAUUGGGACUGAGACACGGCCCAGACUCCUACGGGAGGCAGCAGUGGGGAAUAUUGGGCAAAUGGGCGAAAGCCUGACCCAGCAACGCCGCGUGAGGGAAGAAGGUUUUCGGAUUGUAAACCUCUGUCCUAAAGGACGAAGGAAGUGACGGUACUUUAGGAGAAAGCCCCGGCUAACUACGUGCCAGCCGCAGC